UACGUAGGGGGGCAAGCGUUGUCCGGAUUUAUUGGGCGUAAAGAGCGUGUAGGCGGCCAGGUAGGUCUGCUGUGAAAACUCGAGGCUUAACCUCGAGAUGUCGGCGGGAAACCAUCUGGCUAGAGUCCGGAAGAGGAGAGUGGAAUUCCGUGGUGUAGCGGUGAAAUGCGUAGAUAUCGUGAGGAAGACCAGUUGCGAAGG
rnacentral:rRNA from 1 species